CCUUUUUUACCUCUACGGUUCUUAAUUCAUUGUUUUCAAAAAUAAAAUAAGUCAUGGUAACUGAACAAUACCAUUCACAAAAUAACAUUACUAUUUGCCAACCUGUGGCAACAUUAUCAGGCAAUCAAGCAUACAAUGUUUUACAACAAAUCUAAUGAAUUACGUUUAAAUAACCAUAUACACAUACAAGGACCUUGACUAUCAGCGGAAUGACUCCGGUGUGGAUACUAUCAUGGAGUGUUUUGGUAACCUACCGUAAGAUGAACAGGAGGAAAUGCCUCCACCUAAGAUCCAACUAUCUUCAAACCUGAAAAUUAAAACAUGAAGUUGAAAAGGGUGAGUGUAAACCUAGUAAGUGAACAUAGGAAGGAAACAAGCAAACGAUAUGGAUAGCUUUUCGAAAACAUGAUGCACUUGUUUAAAAACAAUGCAAUUUUUUAUAUUAUGAACAAAACCCGAUGCCGUACUGUUUUUCAACUCAUUUUAAAACAUUUAACAAGUUCAAGCAAGGCAAGCAUAGCAGAGCGAAUCUCAUUGCAGCAGAAAGGCAUUCUCGCUGCAACAAACUUUAGGGAAAAAUUUUGAACUAACUACCCGAGAGUUUCUCGCUGCAGCGAAAUUUCAGGCUAGUCAAGCCCUCAGCACCCGAGAGUUUCUCACUGCAGCAAGAAUGAAUUUCGCUGCAGCGAGAGAUAGGGUAGUGAAAUUAAAAGAAUUCUUGUCAUAACGAAAAAUCCAUUUUUUUUUGCUGCAAUGAAAAAUCAAUUGGGAAGCAUUUGUCAAAUUUCAACAUUUAAUAUGCAAAACAAUCACAUUUUAUUUCUUUAACAUUUAUAUGGAAUGUGUAUACAUGUAUAC
rnacentral:lncRNA from 1 species